ensembl:snRNA U2 U2 spliceosomal RNA
UUCGCUUCUCGGCCUUUCGGCUAAGACCAAGUGUAGUAUCUGUUCUUAUCAGUUUAACCCUAUUGCAAAAUGCCAUGCACAUCCUGUUGCCAGUCUGAUUCCUUCCCUGAUAAACUCAUCCCCUGCUAUUGAUGUGAGAAGCCAUC